UUUAUGAUCAUCAAAUAGUAACAGUAAAAAUGUAUAGUGUAUAUUAUAGGUCUGAGUGUGGAUUUGAAAUACAUUAUUGCACUCCGGCCGGCCCAGUGGCAUAGUGGUUAAGUUCUUGUGUUCUGCUUCGGCAGCCCAGGGUUCCCAGGUUCAGAUCCCAGGCACAGACAUAGCGCCACUUGUCAAGCCACGCUGUGGUGGCAUCCCACAUAAAACAGAAGAAGAUUGGCACAGAUAUUAGCUCAGGGACAAUCUUCCUCAAGCAAAAAGCGGAGGAUUAGCAACAGAUGUUAGCUCAGAUCCAGUCUUCCUCACAAAAAAUGAAUAAAUAAAAUAAUUUAUUGCACUCAGCUAGUUUGUAGAAUGUCUUGUUAUUUGAGUUGACAUUUUUUAUUUCGGAGCACUGCAUGGUUGAUCAGAGCAAACCAUGCCAUAGUAAUAUUUUUAGCAUAUCCUGGAAUCUUAGAGUUCAGGAGCUUAGAGCUCACUCAGUGCAACUUCCUACUGGAAGCAAGGUUCCUUCCUGGUGACAUCAUUGGCAGGUGCUUGUGCAGCCUCCUCCUGAAAACUUGUAAGGAUUGCGGGGCGGGGUGCUGCUAUGUCAUUACUUUGAUAUGUACCUUUUGUUCAAGAAUUUCCUGAAACUUGGAACUAGUUAUGUGUUACAUUAGAAGAUGCAAGCAUUGUAUUGUAAAUUUUGUAUUGAACACCAUCCUUAGUUAAAGGGCCUAGGUUGGUAAUAUUUUCUGAGUUUUUUUUUUGUUUGUUUUGGGCAUGGUUCCCCCCCAUUCAUUGGGUUGUUUUCUCCAUUUUCUUUUCUUUUCUUUUUUUUUGAGGAAGAUUAGCCCUGAGUUAACAUCUGCUGCCAACACUCCUCUUUUUGCUGGGGAAGACCGGCCCUGAGCUAACAUCCAUGCCCAUCAUCUUCUACUUGGUAUGUGGGACGCCUGCCUCAGCAUGGUUUGACAAGCAGUGUGUAGGUCAGCACCUGGGAUCCGAACCAGCAAACCCCGGGCCGCCCAAGCAGAAACAUGCAAACUUAACCACUACCCCACCGGGCUGCCCCUCCAUCUUCUUAAUAAUUGGAAAAUAUUUUCUUCCCUUUUCAUUUGUAUCUUCUUCCAUUUGGCAUUUAUGGUGGCAGCAGGGAACAGGUGUCUAUUUUUAGAAUGGACUGAAACCAGCACUUUGUGCUUGUCUUACUAUGGCAACUGGACUGAUUCCUAUCACUUAUUUAAAGGUCUUUCGGAGCAAGAAGCCAUUCCUUUCAGGGCAAUGCCUGGAGAGUGCUGUCAGGCGCUCUGGGGAAGGGGAAGCUGAUGGGACCUCAGAGUAGAGAACAGUGUCUGCAUGUCCUGAAACCAUAUUUCCUUCUAAGGUGCAUGCUUCCCAGAGCCACUGCAUUCUAGUGUAGCGCCAGCUGCCAGGAGAUGAAGCUGCCCUCUGCACGCCUUCUCUGAAGGUCUUGUCCUCUAGUGGCCUGUUCAUCACUCUGCUCCUAGAACCCCUGUCAUAUGACCUGAGGGAUCCAGAAGAAACCAGCCUCUGAGUAGAUCAUAGGGAGGGGAGGCCUGCGUCUUCAUUACCUCAACUCUUGGCAGCUGGUUCCCAGGUCUCCUUGGCUACCACUCACCCAAUCUUCUGGGACUCGGGCCCACCUGAGAAAUAACUCUCCCUGCUGCUACCUUAGCCGCUCAUUCCUCACUUUUAUCCUCUGAAACUCACCCACCUUCCAUCCCUCAAGCCCGGCUUCUCUCAGUCUUCCAAAGAAAUCGUUACCUAACUUGACUAUUUUGGAGCAACUGCAGUUGCUGGAAUGAGCACAGGCUCAGGUGCUGUGUUAGUUACCUGUUGCUGCAUAACAACCCUGAAAAUUAGUGGCUUCAAACAAUAGCCACUUACUAUCUCACAGUUCGUAUGUGUCAAGAAUUCAGGAGUGGCUUAGCUGGAUGGUCCUGGCUGAGAUCAGAGUCUCUCAUGGGUUGCAGUCAAGAUGAAGAUGCUGGCCAGGGCUGCCAUCAUUUGAAGGCUUGACUGGGGCUGGCAGAUCUGCUUCCAAGAUGGCUCACCCAGCAGGUAGCCUGCCACAUGUCCUUACAGUAUGACAACUGGCUUCUCCUAAGCUCAUGAUCCAGGAGGAAGCAAGGAGGAAGCCACAAUUCCUUUGAUGUCCUAAUCUCAGAUGUCACAGACAUUCUCUAGAAGCCAGCAACCAAGUACAACCACACUGAAGGGGAGGAUAAUUAGGCUCUACCUUCUGAAGGGAGGCGUACUAAAGGAUUUGUGGACAUACUU
rnacentral:lncRNA from 1 species